rnacentral:rRNA from 1 species
GACGAACGCUGGCGGCGUGCUUAACACAUGCAAGUCGAACGGGCCUUGUCCCCUUUUUUUUUGGGGGUGGGGUUAGUGGCGAACGGGUGAGUAACACGUGAGUAACCUGCCCCUCACUUCUGGAUAACCGCUUGAAAGGGUGGCUAAUACGGGGUGUUCUGGCCUGCUCGCACGGGUGGGUUUGGAAAGAUUCGACCGGUUUUGGUUGUUUUGGUGGGGGAUGGGCUCGCGGCCUAUCAGCUUGUUGGUGGGGUGAUGGCCUGCCAAGGCUUUGACGGGUAGCCGGCCUGAGAGGGUGGGCGGUCACACUGGGACUGAGACACGGCCCAGACUCCUACGGGAGGCAGCAGUGGGGAAUAUUGCACAAUGGGCGCAAGCCUGAUGCAGCGACGCCGCGUGAGGGAUGGAGGCCUUCGGGUUGUGAACCUCUUUCGCCAGUGAAGAAGGUCCUGCUCUUUGUGGUGGGGUUGACGGUAGCUGGGUGAAUGAAGCGCCGGCUAACUACGU